GGGGAAUCAGGGUUCGAUUCCGGAGAGGGAGCCUGAGAAAUGGCUACCACAUCCAAGGAAGGCAGCAGGCGCGCAAAUUACCCAUUCACGACACGUGGAGGUAGUGACGAAAAAUAACAAUACAGGACUCUUUCGAGGCCCUGUAAUUGGAAUGAGUGUACUUUAAAUCCUUUGGCGAGUACCAAUUGGAGGGCAAGUCUGGUGCCAGCAGCCGCGGUAAUUCCAGCUCCAAUAGCGUAUCUUAAAGUUGCUGCAGUUAAAAAGCUCGUAGUUGGAUCUCGGGGCCGGGCUGACGGUCCGCCGAAAGGCGUGCCACCGACUGUCCCGGCCCCUGCCCUCGGCGCCCCCUCGAUGCUCUUGGUUGAGUGUCUUGCGGGGUUCGAAGCGUUUACUUUGAAAAAAUUAGAGUGUUCAAAGCAGGCCCAGUUGCACGAAUACUGCAGCUAGGAAUAAUGGAAUAGGACUCCGGUUCUAUUUUGUGGGUUUUCUCAAUGGACUGGGGCCAUGAUUAAGAGGGACGGCCGGGGGCAUUCGUAUUGCGCCGCUAGAGGUGAAAUUCUUGGACCGGCGCAAGACGGACGAAAGCG
rnacentral:rRNA from 1 species